AAAUAUUUGCGUUGAGAGGGAAAAAAAAAAAAAAAUCGUGACCGAGAGAGGAAAAAAAAGCCGGUGACGUGCCUAAAAAUUUGGACUGACGUGUUUUGCAUUUGAAAUGGGCUCGUCAUUUUCCAAUGGCGGGGUACCUCUUUUGACUUUUAUUGAUAUGUGUGCUAUUUUUAAAAUUUGUUCUUUUGGCUUUUUCCAUUGAACACUGCCGAUUACAUGGUCGCAAUGGGUAUUAUGAAAAGGAAAAAAAAGGGUAAACUUGGAAUUGUACACAAAUCGAAUUCCAAUGAUAAGAUAAAAUAUUGCGUAGGUCCCACAUCGAUGUGAUAAGAAUUUUUUUUUUUUUUGGCAAAAAUGAAAAUCAAACGGAGGCUAAAUUAAAAUAGUGGAAAUUUUACUAGAUGUCAAAUUUUGGAUUUGCAUUUUCAAAAAUGCCACCUUUUGAGAGCCCUUAUAAAAUUGUCAAUUUUGAAGAAUUUUGGACAUUUUUGACCAUCUGAAUAAUUUCAAUACCUUGUAUGUCUUGCAUUAAAUGAGAUAAGACUUGAUAAAAGAUUGUACAAAAUUGUGUACCAAAUAACUCAAUGUGGGAAAUAAAACAAAAAAAUAAGGAGGUGAAAUGCCCAAAAGAAGAAGAAAAUGAAACUGACCCAAACACACUCACAUCUCUCACAAAACCGACUUAAACGCACUCCUCUCACUGAAAUCGCCCAUCUCCGUCCCAUCCUGUGACGACCUUCACUGUUGAUGACGACGAAAACAAAAUACGAAUUCACUCCUCUAUCAUUCGAAUUGAUCAAAGUCGAGCAUCAUCUCUCCUCUGUUAAUCGAAUCAUCCAACACCUAGCCGUCCACGAUCGCCGUGAAUCUGUCCAUUGCUAGUGAAGACCGUCACUAAUAUCUUGAGGUUGGUGUUUUCUUUAUUUUUUGUUUGCAUUUUCUGGAAAAGAGGAAUAUGAAUAUGAAGCACCUAUUGAACAAAAGAGCGAACCGUUGAUGCAUUUUAAGAAUAUUUCAUUAGUUAUUACUUAAGAAAUGUGAGGAACAAUUUCUGUUGCUCACUUCACUUGGUUUAUUUGUCUCGGCAACUGCAAGCGAGGAAGUUACUAUUUUGUCAUCCUGGGAUUUGUCAUUUGUUUGCUAAGAUUGAUAACGAACGAAAAUAUGCCCCUUUUAUAGGAGGAUUUCUUAUCUUAUCGAUAUCACGAUAUGUAUAUAUUUUUUGUUGUACAGAGAAGUUAAUGUUAGGGAAUGUGUUGGACUAAAUAAUUUAAGCUGGUUGAAUUUAUUUUUUUAUUAUUUACAUACUUUUUAG
rnacentral:lncRNA from 1 species